rnacentral:rRNA from 1 species
GACGAACGCUGGCGGCGUGCUUAACACAUGCAAGUCGAACGGAAAGGCCCAGCUUUUGUGGGGUGCUCGAGUGGCGAACGGGUGAGUAACGCGUGAGUAACCUGCCCUUGACUUUGGGAUAACUUCAGGAAACUGGGGCUAAUACCGGAUAGGAGCUCCUGCUGCAUGGUGGGGGUUGGAAAGUUUCGGCGGUUGGGGAUGGACUCGCGGCUUAUCAGCUUGUUGGUGGGGUAGUGGCUUACCAAGGCUUUGACGGGUAGCCGGCCUGAGAGGGUGACCGGCCACAUUGGGACUGAGAUACGGCCCAGACUCCUACGGGAGGCAGCAGUGGGGAAUAUUGCACAAUGGGCGGAAGCCUGAUGCAGCGACGCCGCGUGCGGGAUGACGGCCUUCGGGUUGUAAACCGCUUUCGCCUGUGACGAAGCGUGAGUGACGGUAAUGGGUAAAGAAGCACCGGCUAACUACGUG